UCAGAGGGGACGAACAGUUGGAGACGACUGCUAAUACCGCAUACGAUCCAAUCUCGGCAUCGAGGAUGGAUGAAAGGUGGCCUCUAUUUAUAAGCUAUCACUGAAGGAGGGGAUUGCGUCUGAUUAGCUAGUUGGAGGGGUAACGGCCCACCAAGGCGAUGAUCAGUAGCCGGACUGAGAGGUUGAACGGCCACAUUGGGACUGAGACACGGCCCAG
rnacentral:rRNA from 1 species